UUCUUAUGAAAUUUCUUGCGAUUUCCUUUUUCUCCAUUCCCACCAAGCUUCCCCGUCAGAAUUCCCAUGUCUGCAACACCUCUGAGAAUUGCUAAAACCCCGGAGCCACCGUAGGACUGCCUGGCGAACUACACCAUAAAACCGCUGGAAUUCCGCCUCAACCAUGAACGGCACCGGUAAACCAACUCGGUGUAACAACUCUAUGAGUUCUAGAGGUAAAUAAUCUAUAAGAUUCUUUGUUAUUUCAUUCAUUCUUCCAAUGCAUUUUCAAUUAUACGCUAUCCAAUUAUCUCCUCAAUUUUGAUUAUAUUUUUUAUUGGAUUAUUAUAGCUCAAAUAUGUUAUGGAAUUAAUUUAUCAAAUAUUGAGUUCUAUUCUAUUACAAGUACAUGUGCUUUAGAAACAAAAUAAAAAAAGUGAGUGUAAACAAAUGUAGAACACUACCUCCCCACUGCACCAAAUAUAUCUAGAAAUCAAGGAAUUAGAUUUGUCAUGAAUUCUUCUGGGAUCGUGAUCAUAACUACUCGGAUGUGAGCGAUUUUUCCUCGAUUUAUUUUACUGCAUUUCUUUCCAUUAGGUCAGCAUUCAUUGUUGUUGUCUGCUAAUAUUUGGGAAUGAAUUCUUCCUGCAACUGGACCAAUAUUCAGCUACCAGUUUAGAGAAUGAAGAAUCGGUAUCCAUUAGGUUUGAAGGCUCAUCAUACUCCACCACUUUCCCUUUAAUAAUGACCAACCAAAUAUUAUGCAACAAAAAAUAGUAGUUGAAAUCAAAAGUAGAGAAGAUUAAAGAAUUAACAUACCAUAAGAGAGGACCAUGACCAUGUCACUGUCUAUUACUGUUGGAACUCUAUGAGCAACUGUUAUAACUGUGCAUUCUGCAAAUUCUUGUCUAAUUACUCUUUGUAGAAUGACAUCGGUUGCAGAGUCAAUGGAUGCAGUAGCUUCAUCUAGAACAAGAAUUCUGUUUCUCUUAAGUAGAACUCUUCCAAGACAAAACAAUUGUCUUUGUCCCAAGCUCCAAUUUCCACCUUCAUCAUUCACUGCAAAACUAUCAGAAUUACACUUUGUUCGUUGCAAAAUCAUAUACCAAAACUGAAUAAUGAUUAUUUAGUUUCCUUAAAGUUGAAAGAGAUUGUUGCCAAAGAUUUACCUGAAGAGUCCAAGAGAUUUGGUAGCUUGCUGAUUGUUUCCUUAAGCUGACAUUUCUCCACAGCCUAAACAUUCGAAUCAAAUAUAAUCAAACCAAUUCAUAUUGAACGGCUCAUGUAAAAAUUGAUAUUCAAGUUUCAACUACAUUUAAUAGCUACACAUUUUUUUGACCACUUGUAAAGUUAGUUCAUUCACCUUCCAUAUUUCAUCAUCUGAGUACAUGUCUAGAGGGUCUAGGUUUGUCCUAAUGCUGCCCUUGAAAAGAGUUGGUUCUUGAGGGAUUAUGCUUAGCCUCGUUCUCAAAUCCUUCAACCCCAUUGAGCAGAUGUUUAUCCCAUCAAUGAGAAUAUCACCUCUUGAAGGCUCAACUAAGCGAAACAAAGCAUUUAUAAGUGUACUUUUUCCGCUUCCAGUCCUCCCAACAACUCCUACCAUACUCCCUUCUUUAAAUGUACAAGAAAUUCCCUUAAGGACUAAUGGAGUGUUAGGGCGAUACCUAACCUGAAACAAUGUAAAACAUAGCUAUCAAAACAGAACUUUUUCCACUUCAGAAAUAAAAAGGAGAAAACUGAAAGCAGUGGUGGAAAAAAAGGCACGGUAGAUUAUAGGAAAAUCUAUUUUAUAAGUCUACGUCUAUAUAGUCCGUUUCAUAGACAUGAGUUAGGCUCUUAAAACCAAAUUCUAAGACAUUGAUGUAAUGUUACCUCCAAGCCUUGAAUAACAAUCUUGCCCUUAGAAGGCCAUGAAGAUGGCGGUUGGUUGUCCUCCACAUUGGCAGGCGGCUCAGCUGGUAUGUGAAUGAAUUGCUUGAUUCUUUCAACAGAGAUAAUGUAGUUUGACAAGUUGGAAAACCAUCUAGUCCAAAAUAUCUGUGCUCCUGUCAAAGUAAAAGCAUAGGAAAGAGACAGUCCGACAAGGCCUGCACAGUAUAGGAGAGUUAUUAGCUUGAAGAAAAUAUUACCAUGUUCUGUCACUGCAAACACACCAUUUUUUCCUGCUUUUAGUCUUUUUUUUAUUUUUAAAUUCUUAUAAAUAUAUGGUUUUAAACCUAUAUUUUAUUACUACCUGGCGAUACAUAUCCUUGAGGAAGAAGAAUAAGCAACAAAGCUGCAGUUAUGACAGUCAAAUUUUGAACUGCCUCAAUUCUUAAAACUACCCAUUCCAUUGCCACAUUGGAAUGAUAGAACAAUGAAGCAUCUGUGUCCACAAGUGUUAAGUAGUUUUUGAAAAAUCUGUCUGCCAUGCUGUAUGCUCUUACAGUGACCACUCCAAGUGAUGUCUCAGCUGCAAAAUUCAUGAUUGGAGCUUUGGUGGUUCCGUUGAUCCGAGUUAGUUCCCUUGCAGUGGCUUGAUAAUAUUUCUUUGAGAAGAAAAAGAAAGAAAUCAGAUUAAGUUCUUAAUCUAACCAUUGAAAAAGAAUGGCUAAUCAAGAAAAGUUGGAAAUCAUAUGAUAAACCUGAAUGAGUAUUGAUGCGACUACUGCAGGAACAGCAACAAUGAGAACUUGCCAUGUGACUGAAGCCAUUAUAGAAAUAACCACCAAAAUUUCAAUUGAUAUUGAUGCUACAAAGGUAAUGGAAUAAGGUAUAUCGAAAUCCAAAAUGCUCAAAUCUGAUGAAGCCUACAUAAGAGAGAAAAUAUUAGUAAAAUCAUGGAGGUUAGUUAAAUAGCAAUGAAUGAACAGAAAAUACAUAGAUUUUGUACUCCUUAUUGAGAUUGAAAAGAAAAAAAAAACCUUACUCUAGUUAAAAUCCUUCCUACAGGAGUUGAAUCAAAGAAAAGCAUUGGAGCAUUGAAGAUAGCUGCAGUGAAGCUUGAGAAGAAAGCUGUAGAAGCUUUUAAUCCCAAAAGCGCAGUCAAGUAAGUUCUUACAUAAAUAAAAGCAGCACUAGCAAAGGAAAUUAAUGCAUAAAUUCCUAUCAAGGUAGCAUUAGUUACUUUUGGAAUUUCAAUGGCUAUUGCAAGCCAAAAGGUGGAUGCAGUUUGCAAAGCUAUAAAAACAGAUUGUGCUAACACUAUCAAACAUAGCAUGAAUGACCCUUUGGAGUAAUUUAUAUAAUCCCAAAAUGGCUUCCAUCCAACAUUAUCAGUCACCUUUUCUUCCUCUUGUGUAAGUUGUACACCAAUUGGACCCUUGAUACUAGAAAUCUCUUCCUCACUUUGAUUUUUAGUGAAAUAAAAACCUUGAGAGUCUUGAGGAUUAGACAAAACCUCAUUUUCAAAACCUCUUAUAUUUUUGUUAUCUUUAUUCAACUCAGUGAUUGUGUCUUUAUGAGCACUCACAAGAAGUUCAAAGGCUGUUCCAGCUGUCAGGAGAUUCUCAUAACGACCUGAUUGAAUAACUUUUCCACCCUCCAUUACCUAGAAUUUGAGUUCAUCAUAUUAAUUAUGUUCAAAUGUCAUAUAGAUACACAUACAAAUGAAAAACUUUACCAAUAUAGUAUCAACUUCGGAGAGAAACUCCACUUGAUGAGUAACUAGAAUGACUGUUUUCUCUCUUAAAGCAGUCAUGACACAGUCCUAUAAUAUUGUAGAUGCAGUUAGUUUUUUAUACAACAAAAAUGAGGACAAUAAUUUUAUUAUCAUUAAUUAAUUAACAUGAUAAAAGUGAUAUUGUCUUACAUUGAAUAGUAUUGCAGCUGUAUGUGCGUCAACUGCACUGAAAGGAUCGUCAAGAAGAUAGAUAUCUGCAUCAUUGUAGACUGCUCUAGCUAGUUGAAUCCUUUGCUUUUGUCCUCCACUCAUGUUUAU
rnacentral:lncRNA from 1 species